rnacentral:tRNA from 1 species
GGCGGCUUAGUCAAAAGGCAAGACAAUAGGUUUUCAUCCUAUGAGUGUGGGUUCGAGUCCCGCAGCCGUCA